UGGGGAAUAUUGCACAAUGGAGGGAACUCUGAUGCAGCGACGCCGCGUGAGUGAUGAAGGAAUUCGUUUCGUAAAACUCUGUUCUAUGGGAAGAAAAGGACUGUACCAUAGGAGAAAGCUCCGGCUAAAUACGUGCCAGCAGCCGCGGUAAUACGUAUGGAGCGAGCGUUGUCCGGAAUUAUUGGGCGUAAAGGGUGCGCAGGCGGCUUUACAAGUUGGAUGUGAAAUAUUGUGGCUCAACCACAAACGUGCAUCCAAAACUGCAAAGCUUGAGUUAAGGAGAGGUAAGUGGAAUUCCUGGUGUAGCGGUGGAAUGCGUAGAUAUCAGGAGGAAUACCGGUGGCGAAGGCGACUUACUGGACUUAAACUGACGCUCAGACACGAAAGCGUGGGGAGCAAACAGG
rnacentral:rRNA from 1 species